rnacentral:lncRNA from 1 species
UUAAAAUGACUGAUUAAAUAGUCAACGAUCAAUCUUACAGGGCGAUGGAUCAUGUAAUAAGAUUCUGUACACUACAAAAUAUAAUAUAUAACAAGUCAAAAGGGUACAGCAUCACCAUUAAAUAACUAUAAAAUGAACAAAUAUUAGAUAUUUCGGAUAACAGAUAUCCUUCUUCAAUAAUAGCACGAUGUCAAAUGAAUCAUGUAAAUAUAUUCAAACUGAGAAACUUUUUCUAAAUCUUUAAAUUUAUACAAUUUAAGCGAACACCACAGACGCUGAUACAAUUUUAAAAUUUCCAAACACGGCACAAAGAUUACAAAGAUAUGCCAAAUGAAAAAAAGAUAUUUUCGAUGUGAACUGGCACAACUCUACGUUUAUGCAUUAUACAUCUUGAGAUUUUGAGAUAUUUUAUAAACAAUGAACAUUGACAGACCAAGUACAUCCAAUAAGAUAAUCAUGUAUAAUAUGCAGAAAGCAAUAUUCUUAAAUAGCCGAGUUUUUCUCCUGUUUCAAAGCGAGUACAAAUAAAUUUUAUAUUUUCUGACAAUGUACACAUAUAUGGCACGCUGUUAUUAUAUUUAUUUAAUAACGA